CAGCAGCCGCGGUAAUACGGAGGGUGCAAGCGUUAAUCGGAAUUACUGGGCGUAAAGCGCACGCAGGCGGUUUGUUAAGUCAGAUGUGAAAUCCCCGAGCUUAACUUGGGAACUGCAUUUGAAACUGUCAGGCUGGAGUCUUGUAGAGGGGGGUAGAAUUCCAGGUGUAGCGGUGAAAUGCGUAGAGAUCUGGAGGAAUACCGGUGGCGAAGGCGGCCCCCUGGACAAAGACUGACGCUCAGGUGCGAAAGCGUGGGGAGCAAACAGGAUUAGAUACCCGAGUAGUCCCUGUCUCUUAUAC
rnacentral:rRNA from 1 species